rnacentral:rRNA from 1 species
GCUUAGAGUUUGAUCCUGGCUCAGAAUGAACGCUGGCGACAUGGCUAAGACAUGCAAGUCGAACGGACCAUUUUGAAGAGUAAUCGGAUUGAUGGUUAGUGGCGAAAGGGUGAGGAAUAGAUAGGUAACGUACCGUAGGUUCCGGAAUAGCUCAUCGAAAGAUGGGGUAAUGCCGGAUGACGUCCUCUGUUUAAUGCAGGGGACCAAAGAUUUAUCGACCUUCGAGCGGCCUAUCUCCUAUCAGCUUGUUGGUGAGGUAACGGCUCACCAAGGCGACGACGGGUAGCGGGACUGAGAGGUUGGCCCGCCACAUCGGAACUGAGACACUGUCCGGACCUCCACGGAGGGCUGCAGUAACGAAUAUUGGGCAAUGGGCGAAAGCCUGACCCAGCAAUGCCGCGUGCAGGAUGAAGCCCCUCGGGGUGUAAACUGCUUUCAGGGAUUAGAAAGCUCCGGUUGAUCAAUCCCAGAAGAAGUCACGGCUAACUUCGUGCCAGCAGCCGCGGUAAUACGAAGGUGGCAAGCGUUAUUCGAAAUCACUGGGCUUAAAGGGUGCGUAGGCGGAUAUGCAAGUGUCUUGUGAAAUCCCCCGGCUUAACCGGGGAAUGGCUUGGCAAACUGCAUAUCUUGAGGCAAGUAGGGGUGUGUGGAACUCUUGGUGGAGCGGUGGAAUGCGUAGAUAUCAAGAGGAACGCCGAAGGUGAAGACAGCACACUGGACUUGUUCUGACGCUGAGGCACGAAAGCGUGGGGAGCAAACAGGAUUAGAUACCCUGGUAGUCCACGCCGU